GCAGCGAGCUUCCACAUCUCAUUUUUCACUUCAUUCCUUGAGGCGCCUCAACUUCUCCAAAAUGAGCUUCAGAUCAACCCGCACGACUAGAUCGUCUCCCCACAUCUCCAUGACCCGCUCUUCUCCCCAGUACAGCAGUGCCAGCCUUUAUGGUGGUGCUGGUGGACAAGGCACCCGCAUCUCCUAUGGCUCAGCAGCUUCACUGCGUUCCGCUGGACCAGUAACCUCUUCUUCGAGCGCCUACAAGCUGAGCAACAGAAUGGGUGGAGGUCAGGGUGCAGGUUUUGGUGGUGCUGGUGCAUCCAUGGCAAGCGGAGGCGGUGGUGGUGCUGGGAUACAGGGCAACGAGAAGGGGGCCAUGCAAAACCUCAACGAUCGCCUGGCCAAUUACCUGGAGACGGUGAGGAACCUGGAGCAGGCCAACCAGGAGCUGGAGAUGAAGAUCAGGGACGCCCUGGAGAAGGGAGGACCCGACAUCAAAGACUACUCCAAGUAUCAACCCAUCAUCGAAGACCUACGACAACAGAUCUUUGACAAAAUAUCGGAGAAUGCUCGUUUUGUGCUCCAGAUGGACAAUGCCCGUCUUGCUGCCGACGACUUUAAAGUAAAGUUUGACAAUGAGAUGGGAAUCCGCCAGUCUGUGGAGGCUGACAUUGUUGGCCUAAAGAAAGUCAUUGAUGACACCAACAUGACCAGGAUGAACAUCGAGAGUGAGAUUGAAGCUGUGAAGGACGAGCUCCUUUUCCUGAAGAAGAACCAUGAGAAUGAGGUGAUGGAGAUGAGGAGUCAGAUCUCCCAUUCCGGCGUGCAAGUGGACGUAGACGCUCCUAAAGGUCAAGACCUGUCCCAGUUAAUGGCGGACGUGAGGUCCAACUACGAGAAGAUCGCUGUGAAGAAUGCGGAGGACCUCAAAUGUUGGCAUGAAAAUCAGAUUUCAGAUGUACAGGUGCAGGUAUCACAGAACACAGAAGCUCUCCAGGGGGCCCAGAUGGAGAUGGGUGACUUAGGCAGACAGUUACAGACCCUUGAAAUUGAACUUGCAUCCCAACAGAGCUUGAAAUCCUCCCUGGAGGACACACUACGCAACACAGAGCAACGAAACAACAUGGAAAUGGAGAAGUACAAUGGCUUUAUUAUUCGUCUGGAAGAGGAGCUGACUAACUUGCGAGCAAACAUUCAGCAACAGACCCAGGACUAUGAGGCGCUCCUAAACAUGAAGAUGAAACUGGAGGCAGAGAUUGCGACUUACAAGACGCUGCUGGAUGGUGGAGACUUCAAGUAAGAGUUCAAAGUGGGGCAGCAGAAAAAAAACUGAUCGAGGCAAAGUGGUGAUGGUGGUGGAGGCUCCAGGAUGCAGUGGACGAGCUGGCGGACACAUUCUAAUUUGGAACCAAGGAUCUGGGACCACCCCAUCGAUGAAAUCAAAGUGACCCACAAUUAAAAAUAAUGGGAAAAAUGUCCUGCUGAUCCAAUCAACUGAAACAAUUUUUGAACCGAGACCACAUGCAGUGUAAAAUCGUGAAUGAUUUGUGUAACUCUGAAUAAAGGCAUUCUUCCACACCACAAUAAAACAUGCAGAGCUGUUAUAACAGCAACCGCUGCCUGCCACUGGUCAGUAAAAUAAAAUAAAACCACUUGUUGACCCACA